ensembl:lncRNA
CUGUAAGGGACCCUGUUACUCUCUGCCCCGGGUAUGGAGGAGCUGCGUCCUGGAGACCAGAGUGUUUGCCGCUGUCCUCAUCUUUCCUGGCAAGGUCCUGGUCCAAAUCUUUCUACUAUCGUGUUCCUCAGACCAGGGGCCGGAGGGAAGACCUGACCCUUCGGGAAUCUGGGCUCCUCUCCGGAGUGGGGAGGGCUGAGGGUUGUUCUGGAAUAGGCAAUUGCUGCUGCCGGUGAUCCUAUUUGCAUGCCAAUGGCAGAGCCUACAGGAUUUAGCUGAAGGGCUGGCCAGUCUGAGUUUGCAGCUCUCCACUUUGUCCACAAAUAAAGGAUCUCACCCCACGCACCACACAAUCACCCCAGCUUUCGUCCCGGGGUUCGCGUUGGAGCUGCCAGCUCAGCGGACCCGGCGGCUGCAACUGGAGGGACCUCGUUCUCUGGAAAGUGGGCACCUGCGAGCGCCCAGUAGCGUGAGUGGCCAGUUGGUUUCCACUGAAGAGGACAGGAAAGAGAUGCUGUAGACCGAAGGGAGGAAGAACAGAACUUAUACUGUAAGAUCCUUGCACUGUGCCUGUCCUGUCUUUAAGCCAACUGAUCAUGGACUGAAUCACCUAAAAACUCACUUGGCAGCGGAGGCUCCAACCAAGAAGCACACUGACAGUGGACUAGACCAACUGACUUGAGAGAAGGUACGUCCUGGAGGAUGGCAACUCCAGGGAGAAGUAACAGACUUGGCCAGGAGCUCCAGAUCCAGCAAAACCCCAAGUUAUGGUAAACUAGAACAGCCCAGGGUUUCACUUAAAAUGUGACUUCUUCACAGCAGGUUAGAAUUGGAGAAGAAACCCAGUGCGGUGUCCACCAUAUUUCCAGAGUAAUAAUCAGGUCUCAUUUGGAGAAAGCGUUGUGAAGACUGCGUCACAGAGCAACUCGACUUCAGUGAUUCCAGCAUUACUUUCUUACAGAGACUGGCUGAGAGACAGUCACAGGAGACAGCCUCAGGGUGGGUGGGAACUGGACAUACAGCCCUGAGGAUUUUAAACUCUGGCCAGGAAGGACAUGGGCCCUGUCCUCUCUGGAGAGAAAAUAGGCACUGUGAUUGGGGCUUCCAGAGAGGCAGGAUCUGUCUACUGGAACCACCCGCCUACUGUCUACAUCUAGAGAGAUUAGUGGUCUAAUUGUUUUCCCCAUGUACAAAUGUGAACAACAGAUAUGAGUCAUCUUGGAUGGUUGCCACAUUCUGGGGUGUACAGACACAGGGAUGGAUCCCUGGAGCAGAAACGGGGCACCUCACAAACCCAUAGACCAUAAAGCUAAGCGGAGAAAAGGAUGACUUGCUGGAUUCAAAGACUAAAAACCCUAGAAAGAACCAUACAUUCAAAAAAAGAGACAAAAAAUAAUUGGCUCAAUUUUGUUUUCCUAUUUAUUUCCGUCAUUGAUUUGUGGGAGUCUUAUUUCUUUAUCCUAAUUUCUUUUUCUUUUCUUCUUUAUUUUCUUUUCUUUUCUCCUUCAGUUCCUUUUUUUAAGGUUCAUUUUCUUCUUUUAUUUGGCUUUCUGAUUUUUUCCUUUUCCUUCUUAUUCAUAUUUUUUUACUUUUAUCUAAUGUUAUUAAUUUCCUUUUGUCCCUCAAGAAAAUCCUUUAUUACACUUUUCUCCCCUACUUCUCAUCUUCUGUUAAUUUUUUAAAUUCUUUUUUUCAUUCUCAUUUCCCAUGCCUUUUAUCUUUCU